GACAAUCCAAAAUACCAGAGGGUGAUGGUUUGCUUGUUUGUUGUAGGAAAUAGUUCUAAAUUCAUGAUGGAUUUCCGACUAGCAAAUUCAAGUGUAAGGAACUCCUUCCCAUUCUUUGUACUUUCCCCAAAUCUAGUAAAAGCAUUCCCUCUCUUCUGAACUUCGGAAACUGGAGCAUUGUCCAUACCAAGAGUAAAGUAUCGGGGGCUUUCAAAAAAUGCACGUUUUGUGGAAGUUCAGAAAAAUAUUUAGGAAACCAGAUAUAUGCAGAACAACCCGAUUGUAGCUCAGUGACCAUGAAGGCUAACUGGAUAGGAGACAGGUAAUUUGGGUGGGAAGAAAAAUGGAAGAAGGUAUCAUGGAGGAGGGCAAGGCUAAAACAUACUGCAACAAUGAACAGAAACACUCCAGACUGCUACGUACGUUUAUUUAUUUAUUUAUUGCAGGUCCUACGUGUAGUUAUUGAAUGGUUUUUGCAUUAGUUUUUUCUCAGGUAGCAUCAAAGAAGUCUACAUGAUGGUUGAUUUUCCCAGUGUGUAAUCUCCCCUCAAUUCUGACAACUUCCAUGACCACUGAAAUGUUUAGAAGAAUUUCUCUCUGAAAGAAGCAAGAUUGGUGCUAGCAUUGCAGCUUGACUCUGACUUUCUACCAGUCGUCUCUCUCUGUAGCUUGAGCCUGCCUCCCUUACAACGCUUUCAGCUCUUACAUUUCCUGGCGGCCAGCAACCAGUUUUCCAACUGAUGUAAUGUAUGCCAACCUGCCACAGCUCCCACGGAAUGACUGACAGGCCCAAAAUAGCUCCGGAACACUGUACAGCCAGCCACAUCCUCUCCCUCUCCUUCUCUCCUUCCUCACAUUGCUGGCACAGGCUUCUGUUUGACAGCAUCCAUCCAACUGAUAGGAUGAAAAGCUGCACCUGAAAAACUUCUGCUUCUUGCUCAACUGCUCAGUGCAACAGCCCUUCCACUAGUAAUUUGGCAGCAGUUAUUGUUGGUGAUUAAUAUCAUAAAGUUGGGGUAGGUUCCUCAGAUACAAACCUAUGCUGACUCAAAUACCUGCCAACUUUUCACUCUCCUACCCUCCUCCUGUUCCUGCCAGAACCAGAAAGCGCAGAGCUUGCUUAUCUGGGAAAGAGCCAGUUUAACAACUCAGAAGUUAAUUUCAUCUUCAACCAGUCAGGCCUGAAAAGAGACUUGAUGUGAAAAUGAAACAAAAUUCUUGCAUCAUCACUUGUAAUAAAUCCAAGUCCUACC